rnacentral:rRNA from 1 species
AUUGAACGCUGGCGGCAUGCUUUACACAUGCAAGUCGAGCGGCAGCGCGGGGGCAACCCUGGCGGCGAGCGGCGAACGGGUGAGUAAUGCAUCGGAACGUACCCUGGAGUGGGGGGAUAACGCCGCGAAAGCGGCGCUAAUACCGCAUAUGCUCUGAGGAGGAAAGUGGGGGACCGCAAGGCCUCACGCUCUGGGAGCGGCCGAUGUCCGAUUAGCUAGUUGGUGAGGUAAAGGCUUACCAAGGCGACGAUCGGUAGCUGGUCUGAGAGGAUGAUCAGCCACACUGGGACUGAGACACGGCCCAGACUCCUACGGGAGGCAGCAGUGGGGAAUUUUGGACAAUCGGGGCAACCCUGAUCCAGCCAUGCCGCGUGAGUGAAGAAGGCCUCGG